UACGGAGGGGGCUAGCGUUGUUCGGAAUUACUGGGCGUAAAGCGCGCGUAGGCGGCUUUGUAAGUUAGAGGUGAAAGCCCGGAGCUCAACUCCGGAACUGCCUUUAAGACUGCAUCGCUAGAACGUCGGAGAGGUAAGUGGAAUUCCGAGUGUAGAGGUGAAAUUCGAUAGAUAUUCGGAAGAACACCAGUGGCGAAGGCGACUUACUGGACGACUGUUGACGCUGAGGUGCGAAAGCGUGGGGAGCAAACAGG
rnacentral:rRNA from 1 species